UGUCUGUGGAUCCUUUCUUAUUUCUGUGUUGAAUUCCAGCCUGGGUAUUCGGAACCUAUGGUUAAAGCUGGGGCUACGAGAUGAUGUCUCACAAUGUUGCCCAGGCUGGUCUCGAACUCCUGGACUCAAGUGAUCCUCCCACCUUGGCCUCCCAGUGUACCAGGAUUACAGCUGACUCGUGAACAACACGAGUUUGAACUGCCUGGGCUCACUAAUCCCUGGAUUUUCUUCCACCUCUGCUGCCCCUGAAACAGCAAGAUCAAGCCCUCCUCUUCCUCCUCUUCCUUCUCUUCUUCAGCCUACUCAACCUGAAGAUGACGAGGAUGAAGACCCUCAUGAUGAUCCACUUUCACUUCGUGAACAGUAAAUAGAUUUUCUCUUCCUUAUGAUUUUCUUACUAACAUUUUCUUUUUUCUUGCUUCCUUUAUUGUAAGAAUACA